GACUCACCACCUCUUUUCCGGUUUCCUACCUGGUGCACAGCUUCCAUUCACAUUAACCCUUAAUGAAUUAAUCUUUUGAACAUCAAGUACGAUUUUUUGAACUUAGAAUGGAAUUUUUUUUUUUUACGUUUUUGAUGUGGCACGUCGAAUCCGGUCAUAACUUCUAGGCCGAGUUUGGGUUGCUACAGUAAUUUUCACAACAUUACUCAUAAUGAUUAAUAUGUAUGUGAUCCUCAGACUUGAGAUCAUC
rnacentral:lncRNA from 1 species